UCGCCUGUUUAUCAAAAACAUAGUUUAAAGAAUUUAUUUUAAAUUAAUCCUGCCCAAUGUUAAAAAUAAAUGGCCGCAGUACCUUGACUGUGCUAAGGUAGCAUAAUCAAUUGGCUUUUAAUUAGAGUCUGGAAUGAAUGGAUAAAUGAAGUCUUUCUGUCUUAUGGAUAUUUAUUUGAAUUUAUUUAUUAGGUGAAAAUACCUAAAUUAUGAAAAAAGACGAGAAGACCCUUAGAAUUUUAAAAAAUAAUUGACUAUCAAUUUAAUUUUUUUGUUGGGGCGACAAAUAAGCAUUUAAACCUUAUUUAAAAAUUAUUUGACGAAUAUUUUAAGAAAAACUAAAUUACCUUAGGGAUAACAGCAUAAUUAAUUAUUUAGUUUGUGACCUCGAUGUUGGACUAAGAACUUUAUGACUAGCAGUCAAAAAAGAUUUGUUCUGUUCGAACAAUUUUAUCUUACGUGAUCUGAGUUCAGACCGGA
rnacentral:rRNA from 1 species